rnacentral:misc_RNA from 1 species
UCCUCUUUACAGAGGCAGUUUGUUCCGAGUUCCCGACAUUACUCGCUGGCAACAGAACAUGAGGGUUGCGCUCGUUGCGGGACUUAACCCAACAUUUCACAACACGAGCUGACGACAGCCAUGCACCACCUGUGCUUCACCCUCGAAGGCGACCACUUUUGGGUGGCUUGCAGAAACAUGUCAAGCCCUGGUAAGGUUCUUCGCGUUGCAUCGAAUUAAGCCACAUGCUCCACCGCUUGUGCGGGCCCCCGCCAAUUCCUUUGAGUUUCAACCUUGCGGCCGUAGUUCCCAGGCGGUUCACUUAAUGCGUUAGCUGCGGCACCGAGGCGAAGCCCCAACACCUAGUGAACAUCGUUUAUGGCCAAGACUAC